AACGAACGCUGGCGGCAGGCCUAACACAUGCAAGUCGAACGCUGUAGCAAUACAGAGUGGCAAACGGGUGAGUAACGCGUGGGAACGUGCCUUUCGGUUCGGAAUAACUCAGGGAAACUUGAGCUAAUACCGGAUACGCCCUUCGGGGGAAAGAUUUAUUGCCGAAAGAUCGGCCCGCGUCCGAUUAGCUAGUUGGUGUGGUAAUGGCGCACCAAGGCGACGAUCGGUAGCUGGUCUGAGAGGAUGAUCAGCCACACUGGGACUGAGACACGGCCCAGACUCCUACGGGAGGCAGCAGUGGGGAGUAUUGGACAAUGGGCGCAAGCUUGAUCCAGCCAUGCCGCGUGAGUGAUGAAGGCCCUAGGGUUGUAAAGCUCUUUCGCCAGGGACGAUAAUGACGGUACCUGGAUAAGAAGCCCCGGCUAACUUCGUGCCAGCAGCCGCCGUAAAAC
rnacentral:rRNA from 1 species